UGGGGUAUCGCCAAGCGGUAAGGCACAGGACUUUGACUCCUGUAUGCGUGUGUUCGAAUCACACUACCCCAGCCA
rnacentral:tRNA from 1 species